rnacentral:lncRNA from 10 species
UACAAUUUGGAGGGAUGAGAAAAAGAAGAAGCCAUAUUUCUCCAGCAGCAGCAGAUUCUGGCAGGAUGCUAAAGAUGAAGUGAGUAAGUAGUAGGAAACAAGAAACUGCUGACAGCGUCUGAUGAUACCAUCCUGCAUGUUUCCAGGCCUCAUACAGUGGAAUCUGCUUUCAGUUUACACUCUACAAGUCACUCUGCUGCUAAAGGUGUGUGGAAGCUUCCUCUCCUAGAGUCAUAGCACACAGCAGACACUGCCACCAAUCAGAGUCAAUGCCAAUCCCACCAAAUGACUCAAUGAAGAGACACUGGAGACAGUGAGGAAGUCCCCAUGUACCUCUUGCAUCCAGCUUUUCAAACAAAACAUGAUAAACCAUGUAGUGAAGAAGUUAGGCAUCUGGAUCUGGAAUCAGAAAAGAAAAGGAAGAAAGAAAUACCAGAGACUGAGUAAUUUACUUUUUUAAAAAAGAGGUUUAAUUAGCUCACGGCUCUGCAAACAAUACAGAAAACAUGAUGCUGGAAUCUGCUUGGCUUCUGGGGAAGGGUAGGUAGGGUGG